GCUGGAUGGAGGGGGGAGAGAGAGACACAGAGAGGCUGCCGGGCAGGGGGGAGAGACACAUGGAGGUGCUUCAGGGGUGGGAAAGACACAUGGAGGGGCUGCAGGGGAGGGAGAGAGACACUUGGAGGGAUUGCAGGGCAGUGGGGAGAGAGACUCAUGGGGGGGCUGCAAGGGGCAGAUAGACACAUGGAGGGGCUUGGGGGAAUGAGACACUUGGCGGAAUGAGACACAUGUGGGGUUGGGAGGCAAUACAACACCUGGGAGGAAAUUAAAUACAUGGAGGGGCUUGG